rnacentral:rRNA from 1 species
UACGAAGGGGGCUAGCGUUGUUCGGAAUCACUGGGCGUAAAGGGUGCGUAGGCGGUCGCGCAAGUCGGAUGUGAAAUCUUAGGGCUCAACCCUGAAACUGCAUUCGAUACUGCGUGGCUAGAGUACUGGAGAGGAGACUGGAAUUUACGGUGUAGCAGUGAAAUGCGUAGAUAUCGUAAGGAAGACCAGUGGCGAAGGCGAGUCUCUGGACAGUUACUGACGCUGAGGCACGAAGGCCAGGGGAGCAAACGGG